GCCGAAGUGGCGGAACUGGCAGACGCGCCGGACUCAAAAUCCGGUUCCCUCCGGGGAGUGUGGGUUCGAUUCCCACCUUCGGCA
rnacentral:tRNA from 1 species